GAUGAACGCUAGCGGCAGGCUUAAUACAUGCAAGUCGAGGGGCAACAGGGGUAGCAAUACCUGCUGGCGACCGGCAAACGGGUGCGGAACACGUACAGAACCUUCCUUAGAGUGGGGGAUAGCCCGGAGAAAUCCGGAUUAAUACCCCAUAGUAUUAUUGGGUGGCAUCACUUGGUAAUUAAAGAUCUAUUGCUCUAAGAUGGCUGUGCGGCUGAUUAGGUAGUUGGUUGGGGAACGGCCCACCAAGCCAGCGAUCAGUAACUGGUGUGAGAGCACGACCAGUCACACGGGCACUGAGACACGGGCCCGACUCCUACGGGAGGCAGCAGUAAGGAAUAUUGGUCAAUGGACGCAAGUCUGAACCAGCCAUGCCGCGUGAAGGAUGAAGGUCCUCUGGAUUGUAAACUUCUUUUAUGUGGGAAGAAAUGCAUUCUUUAUAGAGUGUUUGACGGUACCAUAGGAAUAAGCACCGGCUAACUCCGUGCCAGCCGCCGCU
rnacentral:rRNA from 1 species